rnacentral:rRNA from 1 species
UACGUAGGGUGCAAGCGUUGUCCGGAAUUAUUGGGCGUAAAGAGCUCGUAGGCGGUUUGUCGCGUCUGCUGUGAAAACUCGAGGCUCAACCUCGAGACGCCGGUGGAAACCAUCAGACUAGAGUCCGGAAGAGGAGAGUGGAAUUCCUGGUGUAGCGGUGAAAUGCGCAGAUAUCAGGAAGAACACCCGUGGCUAAGGCGGCUCUCUAGUACGGUACUGACGCUGAGACGCGAAAGCGUGGGGAGCGAACAGG